GAAUUUGUCGGUUGGUCGGGCUUCACUGUCCGCACUGACCUGAUGGAUUCCUACCUUCUGAAUAACCAGCAUGCUAUUAAGUUAGUGCGUUGGGGAAGCAGAGCUUAUUACCUUGAAAAAUUAGAGUGCUUAAAGCAGGCUUGUGCUUGAAUAGAUUAGCAUGGAAUAAUAAAAUAGGACGGCAUGGUUCUAUUUUGUUGGUUUCUAGGAUCACCGUAAUGA
rnacentral:rRNA from 1 species